CAGUAGCCGCGGUAAUACGGAGGGAGCUAGCGUUGUUCGGAAUUACUGGGCGUAAAGCGCACGUAGGCGGAUCGAUCAGUCAGGGGUGAAAUCCCAGAGCUCAACUCUGGAACUGCCUUUAAUACUGUCGAUCUGGAGUAUGGAAGAGGUGAGUGGAAUUCCGAGUGUAGAGGUGAAAUUCGUAGAUAUUCGGAAGAACACCAGUGGCGAAGGCGACUCGCUGGACAAGUAUUGACGCUGAGGUGCGAAAGCGUGGGGAGCAAACAGGAUUAGAUACCCGCGUAGUCCCUGUCUCUUAUAC
rnacentral:rRNA from 1 species